rnacentral:lncRNA from 1 species
UGAGAAUUGUACCACGUGAUUAUAGUUUGAACUAGACUGGCUUGAUAUCGUUAAAAUCUUUAAAACACGGAUAUUAUAAGUUGCCCGUCACAGAGUCCUUGUUUAUAAUCAUUCUGAUAUUUCCGUAAAGUUGUCAAGCGGUCAAAAUCAAAACAGUGAAUUUUUCGUGUUCUCAUGAGUUUAUACUUCUUAAAAUAUUGGCAUUUUAACUUUACGUGGGAACCUAGAGUUCAACGACUACACAUACAAGGUUUGGACUUGCUUAUUCUUUGGACAUCCAAGUUUCAAGUUUCACC